ACAGGAAAUGUGCCCGAAAUCAAGGGCUACUUUGAUAGAGUACGUCACAGGGGUUAAAAUCCCCUCAUUCCCU
rnacentral:tRNA from 1 species